UACGAAGGGGGCUAGCGUUGUUCGGAUUUACUGGGCGUAAAGCGCACGUAGGCGGACUUUUAAGUCAGGGGUGAAAGCCCAGAGCUCAACUCUGGAACUGCCUCUGAAACUGGUGAUCUUGAGUACGGGAGAGGUGAGUGGAAUUCCCAGUGUAGAGGUGAAAGUCGUAGAUAUUGGGAAGAACACCGGUGGCGAAGGCGGCUCACUGGCCCGUAACUGACGCUCAGGCGCGAUAGCGUGGGGAUCAAACAGU
rnacentral:rRNA from 1 species